rnacentral:rRNA from 1 species
GACGAACGCUGGCGGCGUGCCUAACACAUGCAAGUCGAACGGAGAUAUGAUUUCGGUUAUAUCUUAGUGGCGAACGGGUGAGUAACGCGUGAGCAACCUGACUCUUAGAGGGGGAUAACACUCGGAAACGGGUGCUAAUACCGCAUAAGACCACGACAUGGCAUCAUGACGAGGUCAAAGGAGCAAUCCGCUGAGAGAGGGGCUCGCGUCCCAUUAGAUAGAUGGCGGGGUAACGGCCCACCAUGUCGACGAUGGGUAGCCGAGCUGAGAGGCUGAUCGGCCACACUGGAACUGAGACACGGUCCAGACUCCUACGGGAGGCAGCAGUGGGGAAUAUUGGGCAAUGGGCGCAAGCCUGACCCAGCAACGCCGCGUGAGGGAAGAAGGCUUUCGGGUUGUAAACCUCUGUCCUUGGUGACGAAACAAAUGACGGUAGCCAAGGAGGAAGCCCCGGCUAACUACGUGCCAGCA